AGAGUUUGAUCCUGGCUCAGAACGAACGCUGGCGGCGUGCUUAACACAUGCAAGUCGAGUGCGCGGUGCCGUAGCAAUACGGUACUGGUGCACGGCGCACGGGUGCGUAACACGUGGGUAAUCUGCCCUCUGAUGGGGAAUAACCCCGCGAAAGCGGGGCUAAUACCGCAUAACAUUCCUUGGACUCCGGUUUGAGGACUCAAAGCCGUAAGGCGUCGGAGGUGGAGCCCGCGCACGAUUAGCUAGUUGGUAGGGUAACGGCCUACCAAGGCUAUGAUCGUUAGCUGGUCUGAGAGGAUGGCCAGCCACACUGGAACUGAGACACGGUCCAGACUCCUACGGGAGGCAGCAGUGGGGAAUCUUGCGCAAUGGGCGAAAGCCUGACGCAGCGACGCCGCGUGGGGGAUGAAGCUUCUCGGAGUGUAAACCCCUUUCGACCGGGACGAAUGCCCGCAAGGGAGUGACGGUACCGGUAUAAGAAGCCCCGGCUAACUACGUGCCAGCAGCCGCGGUAAGACGUAGGGGGCCAGCGUUGUUCGGAAUUACUGGGUGUAAAGGGUUCGUAGGCGGCGUGGCAAGUCGGGAGUGAAAUCUCUGGGCUCAACUCAGGGGCUGCUUCCGAAACUGCUGUGCUAGAGUGUGGGAGAGGCGCGUGGAAUUGCAGGUGUAGCGGUGAAAUGCGUAGAUAUCUGCAGGAACACCCGUGGCGAAAGCGGCGCGCUGGACCACUACUGACGCUGAGGAACGAAAGCUAGGGGAGCAAACAGGAUUAGAUACCCCCGUAGUCC
rnacentral:rRNA from 1 species